rnacentral:rRNA from 1 species
AACGAACGCUGGCGGCAGGCCUAACACAUGCAAGUCGAACGCCGUAGCAAUACGGAGUGGCAGACGGGUGAGUAACACGUGGGAACGUACCCUUCGGUUCGGAAUAACUCAGGGAAACUUGAGCUAAAACCGGAUACGUCCGAGAGGAGAAAGAUUCAUCGCCGAGGGAUCGGCCCGCGUCUGAUUAGCUUGUUGGUGAGGUAACGGCUCACCAAGGCGACGAUCAGUAGCUGGUCGAGAGGAUGAUCAGCCACAUUGGGACUGAGACACGGCCCAAACUCCUACGGGAGGCAGCAGUGGGGAAUAUUGGACAAUGGGCGCAAGCCUGAUCCAGCCAUGCCGCGUGAGUGAUGAAGGCCCUAGGGUUGUAAAGCUCUUUUACCCGGGAAGAUAAUGACUGUACCGGGAGAAUAAGCCCCGGCUAACUUCGUGCCAGCCGCCGCCGUAAU